rnacentral:lncRNA from 1 species
CAGGAGCGCCUGGGCAGUGUCCAGAUCCCCGACCUCUGACCCCAGACUUGGGUGUGAAGGAGCCCCUCAGAGCAGAGUGGCCCAGCUCUAUGAGAUCACAGCCUCUGCUGGUUACUACCCACUCCACCUCACCCCCAGACCCUGAGCUCUCCUCCAGCCCCCAGCAGCCAGGCCCCAGGAUGGAGGGAGGGCCUGGGGUUCGCACUCAGCAUUACCUCCAUGGGCCCCCUGGGUUCUGCAGACGCGUGUGGCCUGACCUCACCCUUCAGCCCACACAAGUCCCUGAAAGCCCCUGGGGUCUUGAUGGCCUGGCUAGCCUAGCUCUCCAGCCCCCUGAUCCAGAGGGACCUGGAGAGUGCCAGGCCGAGGUGGGGAGGGGGCAGCCAGACUCAGUUUGGAAGGGACAGGGCUGGACCCCAGGGAUAGCCAUUUGGAAGGUCUUGGAGACGUCAGGACCGGGGCUUUAACAAGCUUGGAGUGUGGGUGGCCUGCAAGGGGAAGACCCCGCAGGCAACAGGGCCGCCCCAGGCCCGUGCCAAGCCUCAGUUUCCUCCUGGGCUACUUGGGGCGCCACGCCCGCCGCAGGGAGGCUGCGCCAGGAAGCGGGUCCUCUGUCAGGAGCCCAUUUUACAGACGAGAAAACCGAGGCUCAGCGAAGUCAGAGUCGGUCUGUUGUCCCUGUGCCUGCACCGGGGGGCUGCCGCCAUCCCGCGACUCCCUCAUGCCCGCGAAAUCGCGCCCACUCCUCUGGCUUCUGCUGCUGGAGUCCCCUCCCCACCAGAGACCCCUUGGCUACCCGGCCACCCCGAGAUUCCCGAGCACCGCCAGAGCUCCGCCGGUCCCAGGUGAGGUGGGGCGCGCGCAGCGGAGAGACCCCCGCCCAGAUCCAGAGGCGGAGCGCGGAGGGCGCCCUGGGCCUCCGGCGCGCGGUGCGGGGACAGGGCGCCCAACACAGGACGGCUCGUUAGCAGAACAGCGCCAGGACCCCAGGCGAAGAAGGGACCGGCAGGCCGCGCGGGGCGGGGGCCGACAGACGCGUCCCCUCUCAGGACCAGGGUAGGGGGCUGUGAGCACGAAGCCUCGCCAGUUGGUCACAACUAGAGGGGGCCUGGGAAGGGGACGGGGCAGGACGACAGAGGUGGGUGGGUGGGAGCGCUGCAGGAAGGAGAAUGGUCUGCAGGAAGUGAACCAAAGGCCCGGAGAUGGGGAGAAAACAUAAAAAACCAGAGGACCCGAGCAGAAGGCCCCUGGCGCAACUAACAGGAGCUCCACAGAGAGAAAAGGAAGGGGAGGAAACGACGAAGGAAUGGUCACUUCCCCAAGCUAAAGGACUGGGCUCUUCAUUAACACCUGUCCAGCGGACUUUCGGUCCCCAGAGCUUCCAGAGGGCGGGAAGGGAAUGAAGCUCUGACAGCCACCCGCUGCCGGCACCUGAGGCUGAUGGACCAAAGCUGCUCACCGCCCCACCCAGAGUCCAUGACCCACCACCCAUCCUUCUCUUCCACACAGGAAGCCACCUGAAGACAUGCAACAGGGAGAAGAUGACAUGGGAUCUGGAAAACAGUGGCUCCAAACUAGAAUAGUGAAGGGUGGGCAAUGGGCAGUGGGACUGCCCAGCGGGCCAGGAGCAGGAGAGCAAGGCCCUGGCAGGGAACAUGGGGGGAAUGACUUGACUGCUGGAGAAUGUAAGGAUGUGAUAAAGGCAGACAAUGUGGGGACAAUAAGGCAAACAAACUCCAGGAAAAACAAAAGCCGUCCUAAGAUAAUGCAUUCCCCGCUCACUGCUUAGCCAUGCUGAGGUUCAUAUUUACAUACAGUCCUGAGAGACGCUCUUGACUGAACCAGCCUACAGACAAGCAGGAAAGCACGGUCACUGCUCCAGGACAGGACCUGAGUGUCACUGGCCUUGACUACAUGUUAGGCUCAGCUCCUUGCAAGAGUUGUCUGUGCUGACUGUCUCCACCUCUGCUCCUCCCAUGAAACUCCCCUUCAGGUCUUCCUCGCCUCCAAAUAACCCUGUUCUUCUCAACGUCCACGAUGACCGGAGCUGCCAAGGCCAGCGGUCCAGUCUUGAGCCUUGCCUGACCUCAGCAACAUGUGCCAUGCUGACCCCUCUCUUCCUCCCAAAGCCCUCACCCAUCUCAGUGCUCUUCCUGCCUCAUGGCUGCCCCAUCUCCUCCGAGGGUCCCUCAUCUCCCUGCCCUCUCAGGGCCCAUCUCUUCUCUGUUCACACUCAGGCCACAAGGCUCUCUCUCCAGCCCCUUUUCCAGGUCUCUCUGUCCCGUUGGCCCCUGGACCUCUCUGCUCAGGCAUCGAGGGCACACCUGAAGCCUAGCAUGGCCAGCGCUGACCGUCCUUCCCCUUCUCCCCAACUCUACUCCCCCCUUCUCUCAAAACCCACCUGCAAAUGGCAAAUUCCACACUCUUCUGGCUCUCCUUUCAAACACAACCAAACCCACCUGCUUCUCACGCUGCCACUGCCGCCAUCACCCAGCCCGGCCUCUCCUCUUCAGCUCUGAUGACAGCAUCACCUCCUCACAGGCCCCGAUUCUGUCCUUGCCAUUUUCAGUUAUCACCCAGAAGCGCCCUGUCCAGAUGUCAAACCGCACCCCUGCUUGCUCAAUCUCCCCAAGGCUCCCCAAGAGGCCCCUCCAUCACACUGUCCCCACUCCCUCCUGAUCCCCUCCUGACCCCCUGCAGCUGUGAUACCACUAGCCUGACAGACCAGGCACAGCAGCCUCCUGGCCCCUCUGCCCGUGGCUCCACACCCCAUCUGCCCAGCUUCUUCCUCCCAAAGGGCACCUCCCCUGAGCAGCUUUCUAUGAGAAGCGCUGAUUGCUGUAUCCAUAUUUUAUAGGAACAGAAACUCCAAUUUGCGCCAGGGUUUAUGGCUGCCCACAAAAUACAGGAUGCCCAGUUAAAUUUAAGUGUUGGAUAAACAACAAAUAACUUUUAGUACAAAUAUGUUCCAAAUACUGCAUGGCACAUAACUUAUACCAAAGGACUUGUACUUUUUAUACGAAAAAGUAUUUGUUGGUCCUGCAUCUCUACCUGGCAACCUCAGCUGAGAGCCCAGGCUACACCUCUGCCUCCUUUGCAACCAAGAAUAUCCACGUGACUGAGGUCAACCAACAGGACGUGGCCUGUCUGGGCUGCCCUACAGGGAAGGCACCUGCCUCUGCCACCCCUCUGCUCCUUUCUGGGGGCCCCAGGACAGAAGGAUACUGGUCCCUGCCAUUGCACCCCACUCAUACCCAGGCUCAAGGGCCAGCCUAGGCUGGCCGUGGCUUCAGCGCCCCUGUCUCCUUCUGGCUUGCGUUAGAGCUCAGGGGCAUCAUCACCACCAGACUCUCGCUCGACCUCCCUCCACAGCCAAGGUGGGACUCUGGUUUGUUCACUUGGUCCUGACACCUAGAUUGGCACCUGCAUGUCAGAGGCUUCUGGACAGAAAAGCACUGACAACAGGACAGGUCAAGGGCUGGAGGCCAGUGGGGUGGGGGCAGGGCAGGGCAGGUCCUGCUGAGCUCACGGCAGGAGUGAGGGUCUGAGUAGACACGUGUGCACAUGUGGCACAAAGACAGGCAAUGACGAGGUGACAGCCGGGGGGCAGGGACUGAGGAGCUAAAGCUCACUAUCCUCUCGGGCAGUGAACCAGGAAUGCCCAGCUCUCCCAUCCUAGGCAGCAGCACAGGGGGUCAUGUUGUGCAGAGGUGGCCACUACCAGGAAACUAAAGCUCCAGAGAGACCACGUGUCCCACAGCAGUCACUAUGCUCUGCUGUGCUCCCGGGUGCUCCUACUCUGCUCCAGGGUGUUUCAAAGCAUUGCUGUGACAGUAAAAAACAUUGACAAAAUGACUGGAGGGAGGGAGGGAGAACUCGCUUCACCUGGAGGCCUCCCACCUGGCACUGUGCACACAGGCGUGUGGAUGUGAGUGUGAGCCUGUUGGCCAUGGGUGUGACACCUGUGUUCAGGCCGAGAUCUCUAGCCAGGAGUCCCCAGUGUCCAGGAGCCAGGCUGGGGGCUGCAGGAGGGGACCCAGCAGGAAGGGUGGAAGCUGUGGGGAAGGCCCCAGCCCUCCCUUCCUGGAGGAGCUUCCCCUCGCUGCCCAGUUACCCUCCCUCUCCUGCAGCCUCAGGCUCCUUGACCACCAGCUGGGCCUCCUGGGAGUCCCUGACAACACCUGUCCCCACUGCGGUCCAUAGGAGUCUUGUGAGGCUCACUGCUGGGACAGCUGCUCCCGGGGACCAGGCCAGAGUCUAGACUCCUCUGGCUUCAAAACGAGGGCAGGUAGGCAGGAGAGCAGGUCCCUCAAAGGUGGACUCGCUGUGACCACACGUUGUGUCUGGGUACAAGGCCACACGUGGCCAGACAUGCGUCUCUACUCAGCACUGCUGCUGGUGUGGGACAGGCGCCAAGAGGGACUCAGCUCACAUGGAACAGCUGGGGAAACGAGGCUCAGAGAGGGGCCCAACCAAGGACUUCAGGGUGGCACACAGGUGGGCUCUGGGGGCCAGAGCACAGAGACAGGACACAGGCACGCUGGGCCAGGUGUUUAUUGAUGAGAGAACAGCACCGGCUGAGGGUCCUCAGCGCCCAGCCGGCCAGCAGGCACACAGGGCCCGGCGCUCGGCCUGCAGCAGGAGGGUCUCCGUCUGCAAAGCAACAAGGGGCCAUGAGGGCGCUGCACAGCUGCCCCCGCUCACAGCUCCCGAGGGCCAUCUCCUGGCUUCCCCCCAAACCCACUGGCAGUCCUGUCUCCGCCUGCUCCUGAGACUCUCCGAGUGAGCACCUGACUCUGUCAUGACCCCCCCACUUUGAAUGCAGGUGACUCUGCUGCCCUCAGGGCCUCGUCUCCCCUACUCCUUCCCACCCUCCACUCCCUCAGCGGUUCUGAGCCAAGGAGCCCGGCCAUCACCCUCCGGGCCAAGGGGCUCACCCGCGCGUCCAGGCUGUAGGCCGUCUUCCGCAGGUCCUGCAGGGCGCGCUGCAUGAACUCGAAGGCGUGGCAGUCCACGCACGGGCGGCCUGCGGGGGCGUGGGUCAGGGCGGAGUGGGUGCGCCCCAGCCCAGUCCCGCCCAAGCAGCGGCCUCUGCCGGCCCCCACCUCCACCUAGGGGCGGCCUCGAGCCGGGAGGCGGGCGGGGCGCAGGGACCGCCCCUGGGAACAAAGACCGGGCGCGGUCCUCCCGCGCGCCCCCUCCCGCGCGCCCCCGGCGGGGGUCAGGACCUCGCGGGGACCCCCCACCCGCACGGCACGUACUCUGCGCGGGGACUGCGCUCCCGGCGGCGGGCUCGGGGCGGACCUGGGCGCCCAGCAGCGCGAAGCUCAGUAGUAGCAGCAGCAGCCGCGGCGCCGACGUCGGGGGCCUGCACGGCGGCGGGGGGGCCAUGGCCGAGCCGAGGGAGCCCGGGGCCGCCCUGCAGCGGGCGAGAGGGGUCAGAAGCACCGGCCCCUGCACCCUCCUCCGUGCCCCCCACUCCGCCCCCCGCGCCCGGCAAACCCUCACUCCGCUCCCG